CCUUCAGCUCGACUUCUUGGCUAGAAAUACCAACUCCUGCCAGGGCUGUUCUGAGACAGCCCUGGUAUAUCCCCAGCCUCGUAAAAUAAUUCCUUCAAUACUGCAGAACUGGAUUUCUGAGACUGGAGUUUUCACAGCUUGCUGCAAGGUUGGCCUUGCCCAAGUGGAGGAUAAAGAGGAAGAAUUAAUAUCCUGAAAACACACAGCUAAUUGAAUGAGCAGUUCUCUCCCACGUGGGGUGGCUUCCCUUCCCAGCACGAUCACCUGGACACAGCCUCACCUGAUCUCCCAGAAAUCCUCAGACUGCUCCUGGAACAUUCACACCUGGCAGGUGGCACAGUCCCGGUAGCACAAGGCCUUGGCUCAAGCCCUGCUCUUGCUGAUGGAUUUUUCCCCAAAGCACCAGCUGUCCCCAAGGUUCCCAGCCCCAGCUGGCCAUGCCCUGUGCUGAGGAAGGGAGCAGCACCCGCAGCUCCUGGGGGAUGUGGUCCCUGCCUGCCCUGCCAACAGCCACAAACCUCCCAGAGAGGAGCAGGAGCACUCCAGGGAAGGGCAGAGCGAUGCCAAACCACAGGGUGGGGCAGGGAGAGCGUCUGCAGGAAUUCUGCAGCUCUGGGACAGAUAGCAUCAGGGACUGAGGAUGUCAGGAUCACACACAUUUGGAAUUAUCAGCAAGUCACCCCUCAGGAGAGCACGGACCCCAG